rnacentral:rRNA from 1 species
GACGAACGCUGGCGGCGUGCUUAACACAUGCAAGUCGAACGGAAAGGCCCUGCUUUUGUGGGGUGCUCGAGUGGCGAACGGGUGAGUAACACGUGAGUAACCUGACCUUGACUUUGGGAUAACUUCAGGAAACUGGGGCUAAUACCGGAUAGGAGCCCCUGCUGCAUGGUGGGGGUUGGAAAGUUUCGGCGGUUGGGGAUGGAUUGGCGGCUUAUCGGUUUGUUGGUGGGGUAGUGGCUUACCAAGGCUUUGACGGGUAGCCGGCCUGUGAGGGUGACCGGCCACAUUGGGACUGAGAUACGGCCCAGACUCCUACGUGAGGCAGCAGUGGGGAAUAUUGCACAAUGGGCGGAAGCCUGAUGCAGCAACGCCGCGUGCGGGAUGACGGCCUUCGGGUUGUAAACCGCUUUCGCCUGUGACGAAGCGUGAGUGACGGUAAUGGGUAAAGAAGCACCGGCUAACUACGUG